UGUAAAAAGCUGUCUGCAACUUGGGGAAGGCUAUUCCAUAGUUAGUUUAUCUACAGUGUUUGAAUUCCUGACCAGUGAUGUGUGAUUAAAAUGGUUAAGAGCAUUAAAAUAAUAUAUUUUUGGCUUGGUCCAUUUUUUGCCCAGGAGAUAUAAAAUAAAAUAUUUAUUUAUUUAUUUAUUUUUAUUAUUAUACACAGUAAAAAAAAAAAAAAAACGUUGGGUUAUUUUAUUAACCCAACCGUUGGGUUACACAUAUUAUGUGUAUACACAUUUUCUCGUUUUAUGUGUUUUUUUAUAUACAUACAAUAAAUAAAUCUAUACUAUAUUGGCCAUCAAAAAGUAAUUGUUAGUAUGGGCCAAAAUGUCUAAUUUAUGCAUCCGAAUUCUUUAAUUUAUAAUAAAUAAAUUGUGACAGGCUAACAAUAACUAGCUUGACGACUUCUAUAGCCUAUAUUUGUAGCCCAAUGUGCUCCUAGAUAUUCAGUAAGCAAUUCAAGAGAAAAUAUGGUACAUUACGUCAUAAUUUUGUCAAUCUAAUGUUUUUCUCUGCAGUUAUCUGCAAAUGUUUGAGUGUAUACUGAAGAUGUGUCGGGGAUGAUGAAGAUAUGAAGCCCAUUAGUUCGCCAUCAUCGUUGUCAACACAUUUACUGCAGUAUUAACACAGAUAACCGUAAUUGUCAACAUUGGAGAGGGGUGUCAGGUAUAGAGGAGAAGGCGGUUGAUAAUAUAUCUUCAUGAAUGAAUGUAUGAAAUACACGCAGAAUAAUAUGUGGGAAAUCAGCUCCAUCAUCUGAGAGCCUUUGAUCUCGGGCCUUUGUUAGUUCAUUGCCACGGAUUUUGAGUGAUUUGGGAAGGAUGCCCUGCGAGACUCGCCAGAAUUUGGUGUAAACCUCAAAGGACCACCUUGCGCAGAGCGAUAAGACGGUAUCAGUGAGCCAACGACCCUGGGUUCAUCCAUCAGACAGGGAUGAGAGCCACUGGGUGUACUAGUGCUGUUUGGCAGACACUACCACCAUGACAGCUUCCUCCCAUGACGAGCUUUUCCACACGUUUCCUCAAUCCAAUAUAAAUCUGCUCUAAAUAUACCCGCACUAUUUCCAGGUGUUAAUAAUAAACACCCAGCCCGAGAACAUUACAUUUACCCCUUCAAGAUGCAGACUAACACCCUCAAACUGACCCUUCAGACUUGAGGAAAGGGGUUGUUCUGUUCCACCCGUGUUGUUUCUAGACUCAUGAUCCGUCGAUCUUCACUACCUGUCACGAUUCUCAGUGCUCAAGGACGAACUAGUCGUGUAGGCUAUCUAAACGCGCUUGUCACGACCAGCUUCCUGCAAGCCUCCCUGAUGAACGGGUACCCAAAAUGUCCACUAGAUAGAGCUAUUCACUAAGCUCCUCCUGCAUUUGUGUCCCCUCUUCAGUCCGUAUAAGGUCAUGCAGUUUGUCUUCACUGAAGAGAGGAGCUUUAUGGAAAGUUGUUUUCACAAGGAAGACAUUCUUUCCACUUAAACCAGAUCAAAGAAAUUCAUACUGGUUUGGAUCAACAUAAAGAAACAGUCGCCAAGUCAGAAGCAAAAGCUGUCUGCUCCCGAAUGGGUCCAAAUGUUUGGAGUUUCCUCAGUGGCAGGCCAGAGAGAGAAAAAGGUGUCCUUUAUAUUCUCACUGUUUCCAUACGGCAUAUGGUCUUAUAAUAGGUGGAGCCGCUCGCUGCCUGGACGGAGAUCACUUUACUGAAUUGUUGCUAAGCACUACAGUACAAUGUUUUCUUUGUUUUGACAAAGCAUACUGAUAGUUUUCAUUACUACACCCCAAAAAGAGUUUACCAAAUUUCGACCAAGUUUCAUAAAAGUAGUGAGUAUAUGAUGAGCACCAUUUUUAUUCAUAAAGUUCAGAUAGGUAUGUUUUCAUGAAUGGGACGAAUAACUGUAAAACUAUGCAUAGCGUUCUAGCUCCUUUGUGUUUAUUGUUGUGGCAGCUGCUGUUGGUUACUAAGCCACUUUGACUCUCCAGCGCAAAGCUUAUUUUGUCUCCCUGGUAACUUUUGCCACACAAAAACACUUACUGUUGCGUCAAAACCAAGAAAAAUUGUGGAUCUGACCUUGAUUUUUGGACUUAUUUAGAUAUAUAUGAUUCUGUGAUGUCAUUACAACCCAGAGGCAAAGUUCCCAUCAAGGAAUAUUUAUGAUAUCCAUUACUUUUAAGGACAAAUGGAAAUGUAGACGCAAGAUUUAGUCACUGAACAACAACAAAAAUCACCUCGGCUUCAUAUCACAUUUGGAUGUGUCCUCUUUAGUAAACUUUUGUGUGAGUCACGGUGAGCAAAUAAAAAGUCCUCUGAAGAAAAUUUCCCUUAACUCUAAACUGAACUUUGACCAUUUUCAAGGAACUAACCCAGUGAGAAAACUACAAAGGUAUUUUUACCCAUGCAGAAAUGUUUAUACUUCCUCUUUUUUUAGUGCUCUGGACUCAUAAAAAGCUUUUAACAGAUUUAAACAUAGAUUUUAUUGGUACAAACCUUUUGCAGUAAAAAUUUGCCAACCUCUAACGUGAUCAAAAUCAAUUUUGAUUUGUUCUACACCUCAACCCUAAGUAUGAAACCUUUCCUAAAUAGUUAAAAAAUAAGGUAAAUGUGACUCUAUAUCUCACAAUUGUGAUUGUAUUUCUGCCAGUUGUGACAAAAUCGCAUAACUGUGACUUUGUCUCACAAUAUGAUUUUAUUUAAUAUUUAUUUUCUGACAAGUAUCUUUUUAUCUUUUACUCUCUAUUUAAGAAAAAAUGCAACACACACUCUAGAAGAAAAAAGUUUGGACUAUCUUUUACUCUCUGGCAGAAAUGGGAUUGCAUAGUUUUAAACUUGCACCUAAGCAACCACAUAGCAAUACCCUAGCAACUGCACCUUCGCAACUGCAUAACAACCUCAUAGAAACAUGCCACAACCAGAACACCUUAGCAACUGCACAGUAAUGUCCUGGCAACCGGCCAGAUCACCCUAGCGACAACAUAGCAACACCCUAGAAACUACACCUUAGAUGUAGUAGAACAUGUUGAAACACAGAACACCUUAGCAACUGCAUAGCAAGACCCUGGCAGUUUCCCAGAACACCCUAGUCAAAACCAUUCAGACCACCUUAGCAAUUGCAUAGCAAUAUGUUGGCAACCACCCUAAACACCAUAGCAACCGCUUAGCAACCUGCUAGAAAAAUUCAGAACACCCAAGCAACUGCAUAGCAACACCCUGGCAACCACUUAGACUAAUAGCAGUGAGUUUUACAUGGGCAACGAAGUAGUUGCCUUUUAUAAAAAUAAAAAAAAUCUAGUUACAAAUCUGUAACUAAAUCUGAUGUAAACAACAUCAGUGUCUAUUCGAAAAGAAUUACUGUGUGUGUGUUCAUGUUUGACUAACGUGAAAUUUCUCACUAUUUUCAGACCUGUCUACGGCAUGGCUCCUGUUGGGACAAAUGACCCUCCUGUAACGACAAAACAUGAGAAAGUUACACCAGCCUUUUUUCUCAUAGCGGCCAUCUGUCUGCUCUAAUUGCCCCAAGCUUCCUUUGCUCUCAACAUGCCCCAGCUUGUAGCAUUUAAGGAGAUAUCUAAAUGUUCAGGCCUGUUGUCAUUGCAAAAGCCUCACAUAUCAGUUCCAUGAGUGCUUGCUAUCCGUUUGUAGAGUCUAUAAAGCUUUUGGGAACUGCAAUUAAACGCAACCCCACGCCCAACAGGAAACAUACAUCAAUGUGACGUUUUGCGCGUGUAGUUCGUCUCUGGUCUUCUGGCCCGGUCCUUCAAGGUGGACCCUCCCCCCAAACCCACAACUCCACGACAACACCCCCUUCCUUCACCAUCCCAGGCUGCUCCUGUUUCAGGAAGCCCGGCCCUGUCACUGAUCCCAUGCUGGCAUUUUUCCCAGGAUACCCCUCCCCCGGUCCCGUUUUCCCUCCAACCACCCCCUUCUCCUCCAAUCCUCGGCACCCUCCCCCACCCAAAUCCUUUUCCCCUCCUGUCCUCUGCCAGUUUCCCAAGAUAAACAAAGACUUCAGUUUGUCUGGGCUCCGGCAGGGGUCAAAUGGAAUGAAUAGCGGGGCCGUAGCGAGGGCUCUUUCUCUCUCCCCUCCUUGAAAAGAUCACUGCCGAAUUGUCUUUGUGAUUGUGCUCUUGCAGGGGGGAAGGGCGUUGAGUCAUUGUAGACCAGUUUGAAAGUUCUAACUGCUUUGCGGUUACAACUUUCAGUUCCCUGUUUGGUUUUAUUGCACUGGAGCUGUAGUUUCCCUGUUUAUUUUGCAGUCUCACAUAAACGGCCUAAUCUGAGAUAAUCCGUAUGACGAGAUGCCAUAUUUUGUUAUUACUGGCAAACCGAUCACAAUAAAGAAAAUACAAUAUGCACAGAUUUCAUAUUUAUUUUCUUCACUACUGGAAGCACGUCUGAUCUUUUGGCGGAUGACAGAUGGUUUGUUAAUGUUUUGAAGGCUUCUGAUUAGGUUCGGUAAUUCCUGCACGUACAAAGCUGAUUUGAAUGGACAAUGACUCAUUUAAGCUGUCGCAUGAAUAUGGGAGAGUUCAUGUAUUGGUUUGUGAGAUUAUUCUCACACUUUGCGCCCAACCCCCUCAGGUAGUUUUAGAGGAGUACUGUUUAAAGACCUUAGUUUACUCUAGGUGGAUGAGUAGCAUUGUGGAGACUGAUGAGAUCAUUGACGAAAUGCUUUGUGGGACACUCCGGUUGAUGUGUCAAUGCGGAGAUAUCCAUCUUGCUGAAUGAGUGGUCAAAAGUUUUCCUGACUUGCUGUUUGCUUUGAACAAAGGAACUUCUGGGGUAGAUCUUGUCUCUACUUGUAUUCAGACGGGUGUUUUGUUCAGGCAUCUUUCUGCCCUGCUCUAUGGGACUGACCAUGUUAGACAGGGACACGGCAUGGCUCUUAGCACACAAUAAAUCACCUAUACACCUAAAACAGUCCUUGACAUCUUAUCUUUAUUGCUUGAUGGUCUCUUUUUGUUGUUCGGAGCUAUUAUACAAGUUUUGCUAAUUAGCAAGUCAUUAUCACUUUUAAUAAUUCUAAUGCUUUCGGUUAGGGAUUUGACGCUAAGUAGUGAACUUUGGUUUUGAUGUUACUUUUCUAAAUGUUCAUACUGUUGAUUUUUGCUUGGCCUAUGAUAAAAUGGAUUAAAAAAGUCCUAUAGAUUUAUAUUUAAGUGGGUGUAUGAUAUUAAUGGGCUAAAAUAUCAUAACAUGUCUUUAUAUGGUUUGUUAUAGAGUCUUUAGUCAAGUCGUCUAAUGUGACACAAUGUGUAAUCAAAUAUUUGCGUAUUAAAAAAUGGGUGUGGUCAUAUUUACUGUUGUUCAGCAAAUUUUGGGGGGUAAAAUCCAGUCAUUUCAAUAGGAAUCCACACGAUCUGGAAUUUCUUGUGAGGGUGAAAGAUUUGUGCAUGCAGAUUUCACAACAAGUUCAAUGAAUUCGCUGGGUUGACCUACAGAAAGCUGCUUGGAUUGAAAGUGACUUCUGUGUGAGUGGUGCUUCAGGCAACGCUAUACUUGACAAUGGAUCUUUUUGCCUGCAGGAUUUCGCUAAUCUGACCACAACUUUGUGAAAACUGGAUUGGUAUGAUUUCAGUCGAACAUUGAGCAUUUAUAUGACAUUUUAAAAAGACAAAUUAUUGUUUUAGUCCAACUGAAAUAGAAACUUGGCCUAGUAAGUAACCACCCAGAGCACCCGAGCAAUAGCAUAACAACAAUUCAGAAAGCUUAGCAACACUGUGGCAACACAUUUUUUUUUUUUUUCAUAAAAUAAAAAUCUUGUUGUUGCAUUAUCAUUUGGCAUGAGUCUGAUCUGCCACACGAUUACCUGAUAAUUUACCAAAACUUUAAUCAGAUCAACAUUCUCUGCUUUUGACUCAACAUUCCAGACCCACAUGCUCUCCUACUGAAUAUCGGCAGGAAACGUUUUCACAACUUUGCUCUUUUCCUCCCACCCCCCACCCCCUUUCCUUCCAGGACAGAGGAAUGCAGGAGCGAGAGGCCAGUCCGGAGAGGACAGCUGGAUGUGUUUAAGCAUGGUUUGUGAAGCAGCCAGUGAUGUUGCAUCACAUGCGUCAAACGUUUUUAGAUCUAUAUGUUGAUUUUGGAUUAGAUUUCCCAAUGCCAAUAAUAACUUUAGGUAUUACGUUAUUAAAGGAACUGCAGAAAUUUGAGGAAAAGUCCACCCCAGCCAAGAGUUACACGUCAGGCCACGCCCUCGUCAUCUGCUCCAGCUCUGUUGCUGUUCUGUGCUGGUGUGGUCAGCUGACUUGGCCAUGGCUGGGAUUUGAAUGACCCACAUUUCUCAAACGAGCAGGGCGAGAGAGCAGCUUUACUCUUGCCUUCUGGUCUUUCUCGAGGGAAUGUAUCUAUCAAUAGCUGCCCAUGUCUGUGUGAAAGAAUGCGGCCACACCGGACACCAAGCUGGUUCUGCUGGAGCCAACGUCAGCUUUCAAUGUAGAGAAAAUUGCUCACACUUUAAAAAGCUGAACAUACUGUUAAAAAACUUAAGGAGCCUUUUGUACCUGACCUUUACAAAUCACUUUACCCCCAGUGAAUUUCAAUGACUUUUCCAGUUUUCUAGUUAUUUGUGAUUACUGGAGAAGGAUUUUAAAAUAAUUUUAUUAGAGAUUCAGUUUUAAAAUAUUAUAUAUUAUCAUUGUAAUUAUUAUAUUUUAGAUGCUAAAUUAUAAGUUCAUUUUAAAUGAUUUUACAUGUAUAUUAUAAAUUGUAUAUAAUGUGAAAUAUUAUAAAGUUAUAACCAUAA